rnacentral:rRNA from 1 species
AUGGCGGCUUCUUCCUCCUCCAAUCCACAGGCUGUUAACAACGAGCUUCUCCCCCUGACGUGCCCUAAUUGCGGUCGUGAAGUGCUGAGUGACAUAUAUCCACGGUUGAAAAAAGAUCCGGCAACCGAUAUUACAAGUGCAUCCUAUGAGCAUAAGAUCUCUGAAGCUAACCCUCGAUGUGAUUUGCCCGUCUUUUGGCUCACCUUUGCUUAUUUUUUUCGUUUUUUUUCUACCCAUUUUUUGUGCAACCUAGAUAGUACCACUUCCUUGCAUGACAGGACGUCCCUACCCUGCCGUGCUCGACGCUGUCAGAGAUCGCGGCCGGUUUGA